CAGUUCGGCUCAGAAAGACAGCUGGUGUGGGCUGUUUUGUUGACUUACUGAUUCAUGUUGACAUCAGUAUUAAAAAUGAAAGCAGAGACAGGUCCCUCACUUUUUAAUGAAUGGCUAAAUGUUGAGUUGCUUUGAUGAAAGAUGUUGCAGGUCUUGAGAGGGUAUGCCAUUUGCAUGUUCUAAAAUACUUUAAUAAUUGCAUUGCUGAGCUCUGACAUGGAAAAGCAAUUCUGGAGUUUGUCUGUGGAUAUUUGGUGCAGUUAGGACCAUCUAGCUCCCGUGCUCAUAGUUCUCAUUUGUUGCCCUUAUUGAAGGCCUACUCAAGCUGGCCUGAGCUGAGCAAAACAUUUGACAUGACCAAAGAGAGCCUGACCUGAGCAACGCUUUUGCUCUGAAUCUGUGGGAAGCAUUAUGCUUAGGCUUGCAGCUAGCAGAAAUAUAAAGAUAAAUGAAGUUUUUAGAAGAGCCCUGUGGGAUCAGAUCAAAGGCUCACCACAGUGGCCAACCAGCUGCCCAUGUUAUCAGAAGCUCCCGAUGCAGGAGAUGAGCACAACAGCGCUCUCUCUGCCUGAGCUUCUUUGCAGCUGAUAUUCAGAGGCAUAUCAUCAUCUUAAAAAGGUAAAGGACCCCUGAAAGUUAAGUCCAGUUGCAGACGACUCUGGGGUUGAGGCGUUCAUCUCGCUUUACAGGGUGAGGGAGCCAGCAUUUGUCCGCAGACAGUUUUUCCAGGUCAUGUGGCUCGCAUGACUAAGCCGCUUCUGGCAAAACCAGAGCAGCACAUGGAAAUGCCACUUAGCUUCCCGCCGGAGCAGAACCUAUUUAUCUACUUGCACUUUGACAUGCUGUUGAACUACUAGGUUGGCAGGAGCUGGGACCAAACAACGGGAGCUCACUCCAUCGCGGGGAUUUGAACCGCCAACCUUCUGAUUGGCAAGCCCAAGAGGCUCCGUGGUUUAGACAACAGUGCCACCCGUGUCCCUAUCAUCAUCUUGGUUAGUAGCAAUUGAUGGCCUUAUCCUCCAAUUCCUUUUUAAAGUCAUCCAAGUUGGUGACUAUUCCUAGUCCUUUAACAAUGUUCUGUGUGAGGAACUACUUCCUUUUCUCCAUCCUGAGUUUUCCAGCAUUCAGCUUCGUUGAAUGACCCUCGAUCCCAGCAUUACAACUGAGAGAGAAAAACCUCUCUCUAUCCAUUUUCUCCAAACGUGCAUCAUUUUAUACACCUCUAACAUGUGUCUGCUUGCCUGUCUUUUAGUUUUUGGAGCUAAAAAGGGACAAACAUCGUAAUCGCCAGUUCAGAUCCUGUAAACGCAUUUGUGAAGUUAAGAUUUUUCUUCCCAAUUUGGCAUCAGUUUACACUUGCUUACACAGAAUCGCAUUUGCCAUUUUAAUAUCUAUUCACCCAGUUAGGAGAUAUUAUUUUGGAGUGCAACCUCCUUUUCACCAUCCCAAUCUCUGAGCAGUGUGAGAUUCCAAGGGUUCCUUUCCCUCUGGCACAGAGCAACUUCCUUUCUUAUACAAACGACCAAACUUAGGUGGUACUUACAACCAUUGCCUGGCUAAUUCAACAAUGGAAUAAUCCAUUAGAUUUUAACCCUUGCAAGAUUCAGGACCCCAGGAAUUAGGGAACAUACAGACUAACCCCCAAACUCACAACAAUAUAAACAACAAGUAGGACCGAUAUCUUCCCAAACAUCCUCUCAGUGGUAUAGUCGCCUAUUCAUAUUUUUUACUUAUUUGGGAUGUUGCUUGGCUCAUCUGCUAGUGUCAUCUGAAGUUAUUUAAUUUGAUCAGAAUUAUUAGAAAUUUGAACUCCAUAUCUCACUGGUAUAGGAGGGUUUGCGGGGAGCAGUCAUAUAAUAAUUGGUGACUUGACAAGCUCACAAAAACAGUUAUUAAAGUACAUUUUAACAAAAGUACAUUUUAGGUAGUAGUUUGUAGCUGAAGUUAAAGUAAUCAAGUACUUAGUCCUGAUCACUGCAUUGCAUUACCUUUAUUUGUAUUUAUGGUGUGGCUAUAUGUGGAAUCCCAUAUACAGCUCUGGUCAACCCAUCUCAUACAAAUAUUGUAGAGCUGUAAAAAAAAUGUUGCAAAGUGAAAGCCAAAAUGAUUGAGAGAAUGAAAAGUCUUCCCUACAGUGAAAGGCUAAUGCAUUUUUAAUUUGGGGGGAAAUGGUGAUUAAGCAGGGAUAUGAUGGGGGUUGAUAAUCAUGCACCUGGUUUGCAAAAAGUGGAAAUACUACAGUCAUUUGAUAUUCCACGUACUGCUGUUUGUCACAUCAAUAUUACAGUCUUCAGGGAUAUCUGCAACUUCCUUUUUUUUAGAAGUUCUUUCUUUCAUUGCUUUUAAAUUUGAGCCGUCACUGUGCCUAGCUGUGUACAGCACAUGUCAAUGGUUCUGGACAAGAUGGAGAUUUUUGUCUAUUAGUAGCAUACAAUGGAAAAUCUGCUUGCAUAGGAAGAACUGCAGUGCUUGCUUAGUAGCCUGUGGAGCACUGAAAUGAAAGCAUUGACCAAAUCUACGGGCUGCUUAUAGCAGCAGGAAUGGAGGGCUUAUAAUGGACAUACACUCUUGCUGUGGGCUCUCAGUAUGAAAGACCCAACUGGUUUAUGCACUCAAUUUCUCAGAUGGUGAGUUCACAGAAAUGAAGCGAAACAAAAUAAUAAGAGUUUGGAUAACAUUAUACGACACUUUUGAAUUAUACAUUUUUUAAUCUAGCAAUGCUUCACGAGUGCUGAGAUUUCUUUCUUUAAAUGUUUAUUAUUUUCAAAUAGUUCACAGAACAUAGCUUUGUGCUGUCAAGCAUGCAGAUUAUAGGUGUGUGCUUUAAAAUAGAAUUCAUAAAAAGUUUAUGUAGUAUUCAUUUGCCUUUUUAACCUAGUCUUCCCUUAAAUGGUCAGUUGUCAGAAUACACCCUUUGGAGCUUUAAGUCCUUCAGCAGCCUGGACUCUCAGCAAUUCUCCAGGAAGAUUUAUGGCACAGCUCUAAACCUCCAGAAGCUGAGGCUGAGACUUGAAACCUACGAAAAACAGUUGUUUUACAUUGUCCAGUCAUUGUCAAUUUCUAUUUCUCUCCAUUUCUCAAUUCUUCAUUCUUAACUUCAGUUCCCCACAUUUUGUGAAUUUUAAAAAGUUCUCAUUAACGUUCAUCAGCCUUUUAGUGCAUUUCCCCCCAGUACACAAUUCCAUUUUACCUGCUCUACACAUUUGCAACAUACCGCCCACCCUGCUGCCUUACCCCUCUCCCUCCUUGCCCUCGUAAGCAGCGUUUCACCUGCUAACAGGUCAGGUAGGAGUCUGCCAUGCCACCUGCUGCUGCACUCAACAAUUAUUUCCCCUGGUUCUGGCCUCCAGACUCCUCCCUCCAGCCUCCCCACUUAGCAUGGGAGCUGGCUAAUCCCCCAGUGAUUUUCAAAGGGUAAACAUGUUGCAUUUUGAAGAAGGAAAUUACUUUGAUAUUAAUGGCAUAAUUUUAGUCAUUCUAAUGGUGUACAUGCAUACAUUUGCACAAAUUCACCUGGAAUGAUUGUUGCUAUGCUAUGAGAAUGAGAUGAAUGUAUGAAUAGAUUUAUGAUUGUGAGAAGAAGUAUUUCAGAAGAAAGUAGGCAUUGUCCCUAGAUAAGGUUGAGAAACCGUGUUAGACCGAUGUGUGAUUCAGAUGGAACUAUUAUUCUACAAUGGUUUCUGCAAGUGUUACCUUUUCACUCUCCCUCUAAAUAGGGAUAAGUAGCUACUUUUGCUUGACUCCCCAUUUUCUUUCUCUCUUUCUUUCUGAUCACCACGCAUGCAAGGCAAAUUAACCUAGAAGUGUUGGUGCAGAAUACAUGGCUAAUUUCUUCCAGUUAAGUGAAUGAAUAGUUUACUUCGGAAAGAUGAAUUAUGAUUCUUACCAAUAGUUCACUUGGGAGAGCUGAAUUACAAAUCCAUAAUGAGAAAUCUAGCCCUUUUUUUAAUGCACCAGAAUGUGUAACUGAGUUUUUGAUGGUAUACAUUUGCCUCCUGCUGGAAAUGAGAGCCGGUUGCUUGAUGUGUAUGGGGGCAUAAAGGAUUGGUUGCAGGUGGGUUUGGAAGCCAUCUUGGGUGGCAGAUAAGGCACUGGGUGGAAUCCUUAGUUCAGUCAAGGGUUCUGGGUGAAUUGGUGCACCACCUCAACCUCAAGCAGGUACAAUCUCAAGGUACCCUCUUAAAGGCAUCUAGGUGGAAGUGUCUGUCCAAAAAAAAAAGCCAAAAAGAGGAGGUGGUGGGAAAGGAUGGAUAUGCUUGAAAAGUCCUCCCUCCCCCCGCCCUUGCUUGAAGGUCUAUCACUAAAUUUAGCUGACCAACCACUAGCUGCCAACCCACUGCAGUACUUCACAAUACCCUGUUAAGGGGGGGAAAGGUAUUCAAAUACGAAGCCGUUUUUAUGACUCCUUUGCCAUCGCAAUGAUUCAUAGUGACUGUUCAUUUUCUAUUACUCAAUAAGCUUAAAUAUUAUUAAAGAUAUGUGGCGUAUCAGUAUUCAUUAUGCUGCAACUGCCCAGAAAUCUAAUCAGUGAUGUUAGUUAAGCAUGGAAUGAAAUUAAGCCAGGAAAAUACAUUUCUUUUUUGGGAGCUGCAUGAAAUUUAGUAUGGUAAAUUAGGGAUAAGUGGACUGGAGUCAUUGCAGGCCCUGAUUAAAAUCAUUGAAGUAGCUCCAGAAUUAGGAUAUAAAGUCUAGUGGUGCCAGAGGGAAUGAAGGCAUACAGUUAAAGACACAAUUUCCUUAAAUUUCACAGUGAUCCAAAGCAAGUUCAAAUACCUUCUUAAAUUGAAGUCCCUAAACAGGCAUUAGUCAGGAAAUAUUCACACCUAAAUAUCAGGCUAAUCAAGCUAGGGGACAGCGUAAAAAACAUUUUUUUAUUAAUAAACUGGGGGUUUUAUAUUACAAAUUAGUUUCCCGGACUCAAGGUUAUAAGCAUGGUGGUUUAUUUUAUUUAAUGGAAUUUAUAUACCACUUAAUAAUAAAAACUUAACAUGAAAUAAAAUAUACAUGAAAAUUAUUGGCAGGUGGGUUUAAAACAAGUUAGCCUUUUUAUAUAAAAUGUAAAUAAAUUCAGC